rnacentral:rRNA from 1 species
GACGAACGCUGGCGGCGUGCUUAACACAUGCCAGCCGAACGGAAAGGCCCUGCUUUUGUGGGGUGCUCGAGUGGCGAACGGGUGAGUAACACGUGAGUAACCUGCCCUUGACUUUGGGAUAACUUCAGGAAACUGGGGCUAAUACCGGAUAGGAGCUCCUGCUGCAUGGUGGGGGUUGGAAAGUUUCGGCGGUUGGGGAUGGACUCGCGGCUUAUCAGCUUGUUGGUGGGGUAGUGGCUUACCAAGGCUUUGACGGGUAGCCGGCCUGAGAGGGUGACCGGCCACAUUGGGACUGAGAUACGGACCAGACUCCUACGGGAGGCAGCAGUGGGGAAUAUUGCACAAUGGGCGGAAGCCUGAUGCAGCAACGCCGCGUGCGGGAUGACGGCCUUCGGGUUGUAAACCGCUUUCGCCUGUGACGAAGCGUGAGUGACGGUAAUGGGUAAAGAAGCACCGGCUAACUACGUG